UUUGACUUUUUUUCCCCGAACCCGAACGUGGGUCGUCCAUUCAGAUCCCGUUCGUCCCGUUCAGUUCUCCUUCUGCUCUCGCCCCCGCUCGCCAUUCCCUGCCGCCGCCGCUCGCCAACCGCCGCCGCCGCCUGCCGGUGCUGUUCCCCCUCCAGUUCCUCGUUCCGACCUCGACCUGCAUCGACGAGAUCCGAGCGGCGCAGCUGGAAGCCGGCUGGCGCCCCCACCCCUCCUCGGCUUGCAUCCACAUGUGCCACGGAAGAGGUGCAGAUCAGCUUCGCAAAAUCGUCGCUAGAAUGCCAUCUCCGCCGUCGUCUUCUCCAAACUCCAGCCGGGCUCCCCGUCGUCGUUCGCCCGCCAUCGCCCCAAUUGCUUGCAGCAACCAAGUUCAUAGCACACUUGGUAAAUCAGAUGGUGGCACAUGAGCUUGUAGUGCUGGAGCUUCUUACGGUACUCCUUGAAAAUCCAACUGAUGAUAGUGUUGAGGUGGCUGUUGGGUUUGUCAAAGAGUGUGGGGCCAUGCUACAGGACCUAUCUCCACAAGGUCUUCAUGGUAAGCUAUUCGAGGCAGUGCUUAUUUUGAUAUGUCUUUCUAAAUGUGUCAGUUUCCAGCAAGGCAAUAGUAUCAUUUUUCCCACAUGUUUUGUAUCUAAGACAUAGUGGUUAAUUUAUCAAGUCAUAUAAGAGGAAUGUAUUUUACAUCACGCCUUAAAUAUUUGGACACAAUGAGGAUUUUUAGGUUAACCAUGUGAUUAUCUGGGUUUCGGUGAAACAUGGAAAUUAUCUAGGUUUAACUUUGUAAGAUGUAUUGUUGUGAACCCACAAAUUAUAACUAGAUGACAGUGGAUGCCUAGAUAUUCAGCUUUUAUCAUGUUCUUGGUUUUGGAUGCUAAGGAGUAUAUGAAUAUUGAUGUAUCUGUACAACUAUUAUGUCAUCAUGUUAAUGAAAGUAAAUAUGGUAACA